AUUGAACGCUGGCGGCAUGCCUUACACAUGCAAGUCGAACGGGCAGCACGGGAGCUUGCUCCUGGUGGCGAGUGGCGAACGGGUGAGUAAUAUAUCGGAACGUACCCUAGAGUGGGGGAUAACGCAGCGAAAGUUGCGCUAAUACCGCAUACGAUCUACGGAUGAAAGUGGGGGAUCGCAAGACCUCAUGCUCAUGGAGCGGCCGAUAUCUGAUUAGCUAGUUGGUGGGGUAAAGGCCUACCAAGGCAUCGAUCAGUAGCUGGUCUGAGAGGACGACCAGCCACACUGGAACUGAGACACGGUCCAGACUCCUACGGGAGGCAGCAGUGGGGAAUUUUGGACAAUGGGCGCAAGCCUGAACCAGCCAUGCCGCGUGCAGGAAGACGGUCCUAUGGAUUGUAAACUGCUUUUAUACAGGAAGAAACCCUCCCACGUGUGGGAGCCUGACGGUACUGUAGGAAUAAGGAUCGGCUAACUCCGUG
rnacentral:rRNA from 1 species